rnacentral:rRNA from 1 species
GAUGAACGCUGGCGGCGUGCUUAACACAUGCAAGUCGAACGAACCUUCGGGUUAGUGGCGGACGGGUGAGUAACGCGUGAGAAUCUGCCCUCAGGAGGGGGAUAACGGCUGGAAACGGCCGCUAAUACACCAUAUGCCGCGAGGUGAAACGAAUUUCGCCUGAGGAUGAGCUCGCGUCUGAUUAGCUAGUUGGUGGGGUAAAGGCCUACCAAGGCAUCGAUCAGUAGCUGGUCUGAGAGGAUGAUCAGCCACACUGGGACGGAGACACGGCCCAGACUCCUACGGGAGGCAGCAGUGGGGAAUUUUCCGCAAUGGGCGCAAGCCUGACGGAGCAACGCCGGGUGAGGGAUGAAGGCCUCUGGGCUGUAAACCUCUUUUAUCAAGGAAGAAGAUCUGACGGUACUUGAUGAAUAAGCCACGGCUAAUUCCGUGCCAGCAGCCGCCGUAA